AAUUAUGGAUGGGAUCUUGACAGAGUAAUGCUAGACCUUCAACCCUCAUGGAGAGAAGGGCUGUUCAUUGUUCACCUUUAUAUGUUAAAUGCUACAUGUGGGUAUUAAUGCAUAGUGUUGUUUUCCUUGUCCUGAAAGUGCCAUUGAUGUAUUAACAUUCAAGUUAUUUGACUGUCUAAUUAAGUGUGCUGAAGCUUUUUUUCCAGACCAGUUCUCGCUUUAUUUUACUUAUAUAACUGGGUAUCCUUAAUUUCCAGGUCAAUCAUGAUGCACGGAAGUUCAUGUUCUAACAUUUGGACAACCUCAAAUUGGGAAUGCAAUGUUUUCGUUUUAUUACAGUGACUGUACCAAAUACAAUACGUUUUACUAAUGGACAUGAUAUUGUUGCUCAUUUGCCUUCAUGCUAUUCUCGGUUCCCUCAGAAGACGUACCAUCGCUUAGAGAGGUAUGGUUGUAUAAUGUCGGAUUUUAUAGUCUGAUUUAUCAGGUUAAGAAAAUUUGUGAUAGCUCUCUGGAGAAGAUUCAUCAUGCAGCAGGGAAGGAGCAUUGCGGACCAUUUAAUGGUUGAGACACAGGGAUGUGCAAAAUCGUCAUGGAUGAAUAGGGAAGCAAAGAUGUCAAAGGAAAUUUUAUGCUUUCCAGGAAUCCUUCAACUGCUGCACUGAGGCUGCCUUCAAACUCCGAUGCCAAGAGCAACUUAAUUUAAAUUGCUUCUGGUUCAGCACCUGGUUCCUCAAAGAUCAUCAGGGAGCUCUGUGAUGAAGUUUGUUCACAUAAUGCACUCCAUCUAUCAGUUCACAUCUGUCGCAAGAUGCACAGGAGCUCCAUUGAAAAUCACUACGAAUGUAAAUAGCAUGAAGUCGAAUGUAUCAUCCUUGUAAAUGCAACUCUUGAUUUUUAUUGAAUGAAUGUGCUCGCAAGUGACCUGUCAA